UACGUAGGGCGCAAGCGUUGUCCGGAAUCACUGGGCUUACAGGGUGCGUAGGCGGCCUGACAAGUAGGGUGUGAAAGCCCCCGGCUCAACCGGGGAAUGGCGCCCUAAACUGUCGGGCUGGAGUGAGAUAGGGGUGUGCGGAACUUCCGGUGGAGCGGUGAAAUGUGUUGAUAUCGGAAGGAACGCCGGUGGCGAAAGCGGCACACUGGAUCUCAACUGACGCUGAGGCACGAAAGCCAGGGGAGCGAACGGG
rnacentral:rRNA from 1 species